CUUAGUGGCCGUGGCCUGCCCACAGAGCUCCUGUGCCUUUUCUUCCCCUUCCUGUCCACUCUAGACAAAGAACCUUGGAGUGGUGAUAGGGAGGCCAGAAGAGCCAGGGUGGGAUGAGGGAGUACUUAGGAUCAUUUGAUUGGAUGUGGGAAGGGACAUGGGUUUGGACAGAGUAGAAUGCCAAACACACUGAGAACCGGCAGACAAAUGGCCACAUGAGCUGCUUCGGGGGAGCGCUUAGAAAAGUGAAAUCCGUGCUUUGCUUACAACGAUGAUAAGAUUGAAAAAGGUCAAUUCUGCACAGAAAAAGCGAUCUAGCGUUCUUUGUCCUGAAUUUCUAUGCAAGAUGGUGCAUCAGUCAUUAUUCUUUGACAGGUCAAGGAUAGCCAGUGACACACUCGGUGGAUGGUCACGUGGAUGCCAUGGAGAUGGCACAGCUGCCUCAAGACCUACCCCCUUCUGGGACACAGUGAAGAGUUCUACUUGUUGUGGUCCUACUUUGGGGAUGUUUUGUGAGACUGCUUUUGUGCCGUUCACAGCCAUGACCGGACAUCACUAAAGAGAGCCAGGGUCUGCCAAGGGCGGGGUCCAACCUCAACUGACACUGAUAUGUAGCCACAAGAGUUCGUUUCCAGCCAUGAAGACCACUCCAUAAAUGUGCUUUUGCAGCUAAAAAGGCCAAUAAAAUAGGCCUCCCCAGAAAGGGCACUAAGCCAAAGCAAACCAUUAUCUCGCUCUUCUACAAAGCGGCAAAUGGGAUGGACAUGCAUGGGUUACUGUCUAUACCACUGUCAGCACCAUGGAGAGGGCUCAUGAGGAAGGGUCUGGAGGCGGAGAACAGACAAGAGCACGAGGAAGGCCGACCCUGAGGUGAGAUCCAGCCCGGUCAUCAGAGAACCAGCUCCACAAGCAAGAGCAGCCCCAGAGAGAGAUUCCUUCUCUUACCGUCACUGUCAUCUACUCUCUGGUACUUAGCUUGCUGUCCCACAACCAUGUCGCCAGUACUACUUUCUUUCAAGGGAUUGGAAAAUAUUAAAGGAGUCUCUCCCAAUUCAGCCUCCUUUAGAAUAAAUUCCUUGAAGAAGAGGUAUUCAUUCAAAGGAUAGGAUCCAACUCUUGGUAGAUUUUGGUAAAUCGUGUUCUCAGAACUGCCUGCUGACAGUGGUUUCUUCUUCUGCCGUGUUUUCUUACUUUCGAUUAUCUUAUUAUCACUUAUCAGUACACCUCUUAAUCUGUAAACAAUACUCUGGAUAAUAUUGUGCCGUUCACCCCAUGAGCCCUCAUUUACACCUGUGCUGUGGUUACAGUUUCUCUCAGGGACUUUCAUCCUUGUACAGUGUUUUUAUUCCUACUUCACAGUGAGGUGUUUUUAGUCGUAUUGCCCAAGUAGAACUUUUUCCCUCUCACACGUGAUUACAUCUCUGCUGAUUAGAUGAGGAACAAGGAUAUACGUUCCUCGUGCAGCCCUUGGCCGAAGAGGACCCCUGCUUCCAGGCUCUGAAAGACAAGUUCAUUUCUGAGGAGGCAAAUCAGCUCAACUUCAGUGGUAGGACCAGGCCUGAGCUCCCACAGCCCAGACCCUUGAGACGGCCUGUCAUGCAGGAUGUGGCGGGGACUCUCCACCUGGAAUUACAGCCCUGGGCAGAGUGACCUCACUCACAGAAGCCCCAGCCUCUCUCCAGGACAUCGUUCUUGCCUGAAUGUUUUCUCGGCCUGACAGUCAUUAAUUUAUGUUUCAAAUAGCUUGAGAAGAAAACCUCAAAUACAGCCAAGUUGAACUGGCAACCAAAGCCUGAUCAUUCUUACUGUCAAGUCAUAUCCAUGAAUGUCUUAGCGCUAAGGCAUUCAUUGUCAAAAGGUUAUGAUUGCCGGUUACAGCAAUAACAAAUCCGGAUACGGAUUCAUGCAAUGGCAAGCAAAAGAGACAGUCCCUUGUGACACGGCACUGGUACUUCCACUCUGAUCUUGCCCUCGUCAGAGUCCAUAUAUCCCAAGGCUCCCCUUUCAUUUAGGAAGACAUCUGGUAGGACUGAGGACUGAAAUCUUCAGCCCAACCCUCUUCUGCUCUCUCUGAGCUUUGCCUUUCUGGAAGCCCUGGGCUGUAUCUCACUAUUCACUCUUCCCUCCUUAACCAGCAAAGAGCGUGGAAGUUGAUGGAACAAAUGGAUUCCCGCUUCACAGCUUCCAUGAAUGCACCAAUGCCAUUGCGUUCAGGAUUCUUGCUCUGAGACGUAGCUGUGGCUGCUUCCCCAGGACCAGGGCACAGAAAAUUCACAGUAAACAACAGAGGGUAACCAGGGUCCCACAAGCGCAAGCUAGACUCACUCCAUUGGAGACAAAUGCAAUGAGAAAACCAGCGAAGUGGCCGUCCUUCUAGCAGGAUGUGAAAACAAGGAGGUUUGAAAAGCAGAGCGUGUGCUGUAAUACACACACCUGAGAGCAAUUGUCUUAAUGUGGCAGGGAUGGAAAACAAACUGGGCAUAAUUUGGAGGGAGCGAAAUGAGAUACCGAGAACAAGAAAACAAAGAAUGACUGGGCUCAGCAAAGGUCUCCACUCUGUCCUAAUUAGGCACAGUUGUUCUAAGAAGUACAUAAUUAAUAAGCGGAUGACCAGAUGUGAAAUACAGCCAAGAUUCUUCCUGAGAUGGAAGUUGCAAUGAGAUGUACACGGCUGGAGGUGGUUGUCCUAAUUUGGCUGAGGCUCAAGACCUGCCUGGAAUUUUGAGGAGGUGCAGAGGGAAACCGACCACAGCGUCACAUCUGAAAACAGCUUGGCCUGUUCCAACUGGGCCGGGGUGUAAUGAGAGAGAGUUAAUUAUCAAGAGAUGCAGAAGCCCCUGGAAUUGAGCUGGAAGUUUCCUUCAAAGGGAAAUGUGCCUGAUUUGAGGACUUGCUUUCACAUACCUGGGCCACAGACUUAUGUCUGUAAUUAAAAAUAUCACCAGAACAUUCACACACCUGGAGCAGGGGUCCCUAGGAACCCGAGAGAGAACGCAGUGAGCUGUGAAAGCAGCACAUGUAUUUUAUUCAUGUAUAUACAGUUUAUUUAUGGACAUACAAGUGAAAAGAAAUAAAGUCAGGUGCUGUCGGGUGAGUGGAGUUCCCAUUAUACUCAAUCUCAUUUAGAAAUGUGGCCUCAGAUUCCUGCUGACUUUGCAAAUAGAUACUCUAGGAGGAGAAAAAUGGGCAAUCUCCUCAUCCCAAACUUAUUUAAUUACUACCAAGCUGAGUUUUCUUUCACAAGGAUUUAUUUACUGUGAGAGAGCAGGAAACGCUUAGUACCCGUUUUUUGUUACCGUUUUUAUUUUAUGGUUGCUAUUAUGUUAUUUUAGAUACCACUUAUUGAAGACUGAAUACGUGUCAGGUGCAGUGCUGAAUGCUUUAACGCGUACUUCCAUUUAAUCCUCACAAUAAUCCUAUGAGGUAGGUAGUAUGAUCAUCCCUACUUUACAGAGGUAAGGAAACACAGGCUUAGAUUAAGGACUUGACCCCAGACAGAUGCUGACGCCAGAGUCCGUGUUUGGAACCCCUCUAUUCUCUAUCCUGAGCCAAAACCCCUCAUCCCUUGUAGCAAAGGGAGGGCACUUCACGUGCUGUAUUUGAGUUCCAAAUGACAUUUUCUGGUAGUUUGACACCUCCAUUUGCUCUGUCCUCUCCUGUGGCCCCACUGAAUUUGGGGCUACCUGUCUCUCUCCCCUGCUUCUCCUCAGCCCCCCACUGCCUGAGGCCACCUCUGUGGCCAGUACAUCAACAUAACUCUUGGAAACAAAAACAUUUGGCGCAGGGGCUGAGCCCAGCCAGCUGGAGAUGGGAGAGGACCCACACCUCGGCCAAGUGUUGGAGUGACCAGGAGGGUGAGAGCUAAACGGUCAGAUUUUAGAAUCUGCUCUACCUUGGCUCAGAAGGUCACCUCGGCCUUUUACAAGUGGUUUGCUAUUGUACAAGUUAUUAAAUGCCCCAAGCCUCAGUUUCCUCAUCUGUGAAAUGGGAUAAUAAUAAUAAUAACAGCUCCUAUCCAACACUGUUGCUCUGUAAAGUAAAAGAGGGUGUUCAAUACCUGGCACAUAAUAAGUAUUACAUAUACAUGAUAAAUAAUAUUCUAAUAAUAAUAUGAUCUUGUCUGUUUCUUUGAGGUGCUAUUGACUCAGUAUCUAGAAAACCUGCCCUGUUGAUGUGGCAUACGAGUACAGCCACCCUGACAGGCCCUGUUUUUAGAAAGGCCUUGGUUUUGCCAGGAGGAGCCCAGGAUUUGGAAGCCUGAAGAGCCACCCUCCCACCCGCCAACAGUCAUUCCUGAUUUUGUUACUCCACUGUUUCAGCCCCCUCUCCCACACAGGACAACUGCCCUUGGUGUCUGGUUCUCAAGCCUGCUUCCUUUUUAUCAACAGCUAUUAGUGAGUUUGCAUCUGAUUGCCCACCAAAGUAUUAUGCACAUCUCAUUAAACUCUGAAGGCUCCAGUACCGUUUAGGGACCAGGACCUUAACAGAGGAAAUGGCCUGCCUGGGCUUUGACUUUGCUGUGUGUCACUCUGCCCACCUAUGCUGAGGAAUGUCGGAUCCUGGAUCUCUAAGUUCACAAAGUGGUCUGUGAAAUCGAGGUGAGAAAAGGGUCGCUUUUAAAAAUCAAAUCCGGCUCUGAGCUCUCACUUACCAUUCUUAGCAGAAGUCCAACUUCAGUAAUUUUUUGUGGUUUCUUCCUGGGGGCGGGGAAGGGGAGGCUUCCAUGAAGACAAUAUGGUCAUCACUGUGUCCUGAUCUCUUCGUCACUGCUGGUCUGGAUGCCAGCUGCCCUCAGGUGCCACAGCUCCGAAUGUGGAGGUCCCCUCCAGUGUUCUGAGGCUGCAGUGACCAGCCUCCACGCGUGAUCCCCCCACCGUCAGCCCCACCCACGUCCUGCCCACUGGGAGGCACUGAGCUGGGCGCAGGUUGGAGCCACCAUGGAAUCUACGGCCCCCGUCAAUCUACUCAGCUUUGGGGGAUUCAACAUUCCAGGUUGGACAAUUCUCCCCUCUCUCUUCCCAAUGCCAAAAUCUCUUCUCCUUUCUGCCACUGGGAGAUCCAAGGUCCUUUCCCAAGGCUUAGACCUUUCAAAACAAUAACCUGCUUGAGGGAGUUCCAGCCCCUUCCCUCUUCUUUUCUGCCCUGCUGAGCUCCAGGAACAGGCUCCAGAUAACCUUCCCAUAGGGCGGCAGAGGGAGGGAGUAUUCAUUCUAGUUGGGGAUGAGGAGAUGACGUCAACUGAUUUCUCAGUAACUUGCCCAGUAGUCGAUUCAUAAAACCUGGAUAGAACUUUGGAGCGCUUUCGUCCCAACCAUCUCAGUUUUCUGAGGGGUCAGGGGAAGAGUGCUAAGGAACAGAGUAGAGACGCUUAGUGACUGAGGCAGGACCAGCACCCAGGUCUUUUGACUGCCAGUUCCAGAGAGCCUGCGUUUAGAGCCCAAAUGUGCCCCCACCCUAUUAGGCUGCCACGCGAAGGAGUAGAAGGCAAGGCCCUGCCUUCAAACGCAUGACCAUCACAUGGAAAGAACAGGGCCACAGACAGGACUCAACUACGGAAUAUUGCAAGCCAGCGUGGUGCUGAAAGUUCAUUAUGUGGUUUAGGCUAAGUACUUGAGGAAUUCAGAAAAAAAUAAUAACAUUAUAGACUACUGUUAGCCGGAUACAACUUCAUGGAGGGCUAGGAACUGGACUACGGUCUUGAAGAAAGUGUAGAGUUAGGGUAGUGAUGGGGGGACUUGAGGUGAAGGGGUACAUUUUGACAAAUGCUACAGUUUGGAAGGAAGCAAAGAAAAUUAAGCAAAAAAGAAAACUCUCAGAAAUAUAAGAAGGAUCAGCAGAGUAUAGUUAUGAAAACUAGUCAAGAGGGAAAACGAGUCAGGGAGGAGGCCCAGCACAUUGGAUGUUCUUUCAUUUGUUCCAGACCUUGCUGGGAGUCAGUGGAUACGUGGGAUCUUUGAAUCUCUUGGGAUUACAUGGAUGCGGCAUUUGGAGGGAUGGUUUGUUACUGCAUUAUAUGAAAUAAAAGUCUGAUAGUUUUAAUUAGAUUCUCAAUGUUUCCUGUUCUCCACCUUCUAGGAAUAUGGUAGGAUUGCAUUUCCUGGCUCCUUUGUGUUUGGCUGGAACCAUAAGAUUAGGUGGCCAAUGAAUUGUGAGUAGAGGUGUGUCACUUCCCAGCCCAAGCAUUUAAUUACCUGUGUGCAAGCCUCCACGGCACUGCCCCCUCUGCCACAGCAUCUAGGAACAUUCCAGAUGGUGACCACUCAUUGUGCUUGGGUCCCAGAGGGAGGAAGAUGAAGAGCUCCAUUUGACCUGCAGUGGACAUGUGAUUCUGUAGGUCAUGGGGAACCAGGUCGUGUGCUGCCAAGUGACUCGAUCGGAGCCUCCACGGGAAAAUGAACUUGGCCACCUUGAACUUGGCCACCUCCUUAGGGAAAUGAGAGGCAAGCAGCAGCCUCGGUAAGAAGCUGCACCGUCAUCUGAAAAAGAAGCAAAGAAGGACUGACACAGGCAAGUGGCAGCAGAACAGAGAAGAGGGGAGGAGGUAAAAAGGUAAAAGUCUAUGUUGACCUGGCAGAUGUUCGUGAGUGGAGAGGAAGGGAGAGGGAGGAAUUGACCAUAAUGUUGUCAACAUUCUGAGCUUGGUGACUGGGAGGACAGUAGUGCAAUUUACACAUUUAGUGAGGAACUCCUUCCAGUGUUGGGGGAGUUGAGGGGUUCUGAUGCCGAAAGCUCAGCCUCUGUACACCGGUACCGAAUCGACUCUCGGAGAUAGAGUUUUGGGUGAAGUGCAAAAGAAUAGCUUUAUAGCUUCGCCAGGCAAAGGGGGACACAGUGGGCUCCUGCACUCGGAAAGUAUGUGUCCCAACCCAGGGGAGUUUGGUUUGGAGUUUUAUGGCAAGGGUUCAAGGGUGGGACUGCUGAUAAGAUUAGGGUGUGUGUGUGGGGGGAGGGGGGUGCUGUACUCGUUUAAUCUGGUCUCAGGUGAUCUUCUUGAUGAACUUCUCUGGUUCCUUUAGUGUGGCCCCAGGUGGUCUUCUCUAGUAUGGAGAAUGCUGACAUCUUCCAUUUUCUGGGUUUUAAUUCUAUGAAGGGCUUAAAGACAUUGUCAUGUGUAUCCCUUGAGGUGGAACCAGGACCCUGCCCCAAGGCUGCACUAUUGUUUUCUGUCUGCCCCUCCUUUUUCUUUGCAUCCCUUCCUGUCCUGGAUUAGCAGCUGUUGGAAUCUGCCCCUUGGGACUCUGGAAAGAUCGUGGAGGCUGGAGUCAAGAAACAGGGGACAGAAAGGCCCCACAUGUCCUGUUCGGUUUCAGUUCCUUUGUGCACACUGACUUUGGGGUGACUGUGUGGGCCCCAAGCAGAGGAGUCCAGGAGCCAGUUGAGCUUGGAAGAAAAUAUGGCAUCAUUCACCUAGAUAAGAGAACUGAAAUUUUGAAGCCAGCUGAAAAAUAACACUUCUACUAUACAAGAAAUG